rnacentral:rRNA from 1 species
UUAAGCGACUAAGCGUACACGGUGGAUGCCCUGGCAGUCAGAGGCGAUGAAGGACGUGCUAAUCUGCGAAAAGCGUCGGUAAGGUGAUAUGAACCGUUAUAACCGGCGAUGUCCGAAUGGGGAAACCCAGUGUGAUUCGUCACACUAUCGUUAACUGAAUACAUAGGUUAACGAGGCGAACCGGGGGAACUGAAACAUCUAAGUACCCCGAGGAAAAGAAAUCAACCGAGAUUCCCCCAGUAGCGGCGAGCGAACGGGGAGCAGCCCAGAGUCUGAAUCAGCUUGUGUGUUAGUGGAACGGUCUGGAAAGUCCGACGGUACAGGGUGAUAGUCCCGUACACCAAAAUGCACAGGCUGUGAACUCGAAGAGUAGGGCGGGACACGUGGUAUCCUGUCUGAAUAUGGGGGGACCAUCCUCCAAGGCUAAAUACUCCUGACUGACCGAUAGUGAACCAGUACCGUGAGGGAAAGGCGAAAAGAACCCCGGCGAGGGGAGUGAAAAAGAACCUGAAACCGUGUACGUACAAGCAGUGGGAGCACCUUUAUGGUGUGACUGCGUACCUUUUGUAUAAUGGGUCAGCGACUUAUAUUCUGUAGCAAGGUUAACCGUAUAGGGGAGCCGCAGGGAAACCGAGUCUUAACUGGGCGUUAAGUUGCAGGGUAUAGACCCGAAACCCGGUGAUCUAGCCAUGGGCAGGUUGAAGGUUGGGUAACACUAACUGGAGGACCGAACCGACUAAUGUUGAAAAAUUAGCGGAUGACUUGUGGCUGGGGGUGAAAGGCCAAUCAAACCGGGAGAUAGCUGGUUCUCCCCGAAAGCUAUUUAGGUAGCGCCUCGUGAACUCAUCUUCGGGGGUAGAGCACUGUUUCGGCUAGGGGGUCAUCCCGACUUACCAACCCGAUGCAAACUACGAAUACCGAAGAAUGUUAUCACGGGAGACACACGGCGGGUGCUAACGUCCGUCGUGAAGAGGGAAACAACCCAGACCGCCAGCUAAGGUCCCAAAGUCAUGGUUAAGUGGGAAACGAUGUGGGAAGGCACAGACAGCCAGGAUGUUGGCUUAGAAGCAGCCAUCAUUUAAAGAAAGCGUAAUAGCUCACUGGUCGAGUCGGCCUGCGCGGAAGAUGUAACGGGGCUAAACCAUGCACCGAAGCUGCGGCAGCGACACUAUGUGUUGUUGGGUAGGGGAGCGUUCUGUAAGCCUGCGAAGGUGACCUGUGAGGGUUGCUGGAGGUAUCAGAAGUGCGAAUGCUGACAUAAGUAACGAUAAAGCGGGUGAAAAGCCCGCUCGCCGGAAGACCAAGGGUUCCUGUCCAACGUUAAUCGGGGCAGGGUGAGUCGACCCCUAAGGCGAGGCCGAAAGGCGUAGUCGAUGGGAAACAGGUUAAUAUUCCUGUACUUGGUGUUACUGCGAAGGGGGGACGGAGAAGGCUAUGUUAGCCGGGCGACGGUUGUCCCGGUUUAAGCAUGUAGGCUGGUUAUCCAGGCAAAUCCGGAUAAUCAAGGCUGAGGUGUGAUGACGAGGCACUACGGUGCUGAAGUAACAAAUGCCCUGCUUCCAGGAAAAGCCUCUAAGCAUCAGGUAACAUCAAAUCGUACCCCAAACCGACACAGGUGGUCAGGUAGAGAAUACCAAGGCGCUUGAGAGAACUCGGGUGAAGGAACUAGGCAAAAUGGUGCCGUAACUUCGGGAGAAGGCACGCUGGUGUGUAGGUGAAGUCCCUGCGGAUGGAGCUGAGACCAGUCGAAGAUACCAGCUGGCUGCAACUGUUUAUUAAAAACACAGCACUGUGCAAACACGAAAGUGGACGUAUACGGUGUGACGCCUGCCCGGUGCCGGAAGGUUAAUUGAUGGGGUUAUCCGUAAGGAGAAGCUCUUGAUCGAAGCCCCGGUAAACGGCGGCCGUAACUAUAACGGUCCUAAGGUAGCGAAAUUCCUUGUCGGGUAAGUUCCGACCUGCACGAAUGGCGUAAUGAUGGCCAGGCUGUCUCCACCCGAGACUCAGUGAAAUUGAACUCGCUGUGAAGAUGCAGUGUACCCGCGGCAAGACGGAAAGACCCCGUGAACCUUUACUAUAGCUUGACACUGAACAUUGAGCCUUGAUGUGUAGGAUAGGUGGGAGGCUUUGAAGCGUGGACGCCAGUCUGCGUGGAGCCAACCUUGAAAUACCACCCUUUAAUGUUUGAUGUUCUAACGUUGGCCCCUUACCGGGGUUGCGGACAGUGUCUGGUGGGUAGUUUGACUGGGGCGGUCUCCUCCCAAAGCGUAACGGAGGAGCACGAAGGUUAGCUAAUCCUGGUCGGACAUCAGGAGGUUAGUGCAAUGGCAUAAGCUAGCUUGACUGCGAGCGUGACGGCGCGAGCAGGUGCGAAAGCAGGUCAUAGUGAUCCGGUGGUUCUGAAUGGAAGGGCCAUCGCUCAACGGAUAAAAGGUACUCCGGGGAUAACAGGCUGAUACCGCCCAAGAGUUCAUAUCGACGGCGGUGUUUGGCACCUCGAUGUCGGCUCAUCACAUCCUGGGGCUGAAGUAGGUCCCAAGGGUAUGGCUGUUCGCCAUUUAAAGUGGUACGCGAGCUGGGUUUAGAACGUCGUGAGACAGUUCGGUCCCUAUCUGCCGUGGGCGCUGGAGAAUUGAGGGGGGCUGCUCCUAGUACGAGAGGACCGGAGUGGACGCAUCACUGGUGUUCGGGUUGUCAUGCCAAUGGCACUGCCCGGUAGCUAAAUGCGGAAGAGAUAAGUGCUGAAAGCAUCUAAGCACGAAACUUGCCCCGAGAUGAGUUCUCCCUGAGACUUUAAGUCUCCUGAAGGAACGUUGAAGACGACGACGUUGAUAGGCCGGGUGUGUAAGCGCAGCGAUGCGUUGAGCUAACCGGUACUAAUGAACCGUGAGGCUUAACCUU